rnacentral:rRNA from 1 species
UACAGAGGGGGCAAGCGUUAUUCGGAAUUAUUGGGCGUAAAGGGCGCGUAGGCGGCCUGACAAGUGGAAGGUGAAAUCCCUCGGCUCAACUGAGGAACUGCCCUCCAAACUGUUUGGCUUGAGACCGGGAGAGGUGAGUGGAAUUCCCAGUGUAGCGGUGAAAUGCGUAGAUAUUGGGAGGAACACCUGAGGCGAAGGCGGGCUACUGGGCCGAUACUGACGCUGAUGCGCGAAAGCCAGGGGAGCAAACGGG